AGAGUGGAAAAAUGUACUCAAAAUUCCAAAGGAAAAUUAUUUCCAAGAUAAAACUCCAAACAUCAUGAAACUAUAUGACUAAGGGAGAAAAAAGACAUUUUCAGAUAAGCAAGAUCUCAAAUAAUUUGCCUCCCAUGCAACCUUUCUCAUGAAACUACUUGAGGAUGUGCUCCAUCAAAACAAGAUAGUAAACCAAGACAUAGGAAGAUAUGAAGUAUAGGAAACAGAGUCAACACAGGAAGAAGAGUAAGGAAUUUCCCUCCAGGAUGGCAAAGGAGAUCCCAGGGUGAUAGCUGCACCAGGAGUCGAGAGUACCCAGUCUAGAUUGGAGCUGUGUGAUUCAAGAGACAGACAUGUUAAAGGAUGUUUGAGCAAUACCCCUGAAGCCAUGGAAUGGUUUUGUGAAUCUGAGGACAGAAUGGCCAGCUCUUAUUCUAUGGCUGACCUUUCUGCCAGCAAGUUUUCCUUGUGUUUAAAAGCACUACGAUUGAAGCAUAAAAGACAAAUGGAAAGAUGAAAUACAGAAGCCCCACACUUACAAGCCCUUCCAUAUGCCAGGCUGCAUGGUUGGAAGGCGAUGUCUGCAGGCUUCUUCCAGGCUACCAGAAGAAAGCCUGAACUAAUUUCCUGGAGGGAAAACAAAGGCCCCACCUUGAACGAAUCCCAAGGCCAAGGGAAAUCCUUGCUUCCCGCAUUUCUACAGCUGCCCCACCUCCAAGUGUGGCUCAUACCCCCACCUGUGCACCCAGUACACCUGGCUGGAUUUCACGGUGGGAGGAUGACCUUUUUCCCUGAGUAUCAAUGUUUUGGGCUCUGAAAGAUUCUCAAAGUGUCCACCAAGAAGCCCUGUCUUAUAGACCUACUGCAGGCCUGCUCUGGAUAAACUUGUGAAUGAGAUGAAAUCCAGCUUCUUUUGGCCCAUUCAGUGAUCCUUUUCCCCAGCAUUUUGUCAACUGGCUGUUGACUGCAGUUUACCUUGCUAACUGAGACCAUAUUUCCAAAGGGAAAGUACAUUAAGACAUGAGGGAUCUGUGGAGCUUGGGUACAGUGGCUUAUGCUUGUAAUCCCAGCACUUUGGGAGGCCAAGGCAGGAGGAUCGCUUGAGGCCAGAAGUUUGAGACCAGCCUAGGCAAUAUAGGGAGACCCCAUCUCU